CACAGACGCGGCCAGCAGAUCCCGGCCACCGGUCUUAUUUUCCGUAUUCUUUUCUCUUCCUCCCCCUCCAGACUCUCUCCCCAAAGCCUAUGCUUGAAAUAAACUGGGAAUGAAUGCGGGGCAGGCAGUGGCGGGAGUUAUUUUGCACGGGGCUCCGCGCAUUGACUUCAUGACUUUCCUCGAAAUGAUUGGGGUCUGCCAGUGUUUUUUCAGGGCGGAAGGGGGUGAUGAGGAAAAGUACCGGGUUCUCAGAACUAAAGACUCCCAAGUCGAAAAGUCAAGAGGGGAGCGGGAAGGAGGAGCGGGAGCAAGGCUGGGAAAGGCUCUGCUAAGGAGUCCCGUGAACGUGGGGUGGGGAUGGCUGGGGCUGUCUGCAGAUCCAGCUUAAGAGGUUUUUGCUGUCAGAGGUAGACACUCGGUCCAAGGAGAGGAAAUGCUUGCAUUUUCUCACUUUGGGGGUCUGGACGCCCCCACCUCCUAGCCCUGGAGACCCCCCCAACCCCGGAGUCCUGCACGAAGUGCGAGAGGAAGGGAGGGAACAAUGAGCUCAGAGCCGGGAAUGUGCCCCCAGCGCCUGUUUACAAACACCAAGCUAUUUACGAUCUCGCCGGAAAGCGAAACCCGACGCGGGCUCGGAGCAGCCCCGACCUCGCGGGCGGAGCCGGGCCCAGGCGCCGCGGGGAGGGCGGCUCUUUCUCCGAUCCUCUCCGGGCGGAGCAGCGGUGCGCCCAGGGCGCGGCGCAGCAGGGCCGGCGCGUUCGGCUGGGACUACGGCCGCUCCGCCUUUGUCUUCGAGGCGCCGAAGGGCUCUGGCUGAUGCCGUGCUCGGGCCUGAAGGGACCCGGCGCCCUCAGCUUUUCCCCGGCGACGCCUCGCGCUCUCCUCAGCCCCUUCUCCUCCCCAUCUCGCCCCCCACUCCGCUUUCCUGUCUCCAACCCGGCUCGGGGAAAACUCCCAGCGCCGAAGACAUCCACAUCAAAAGCUGAGGUUUCAGACAAAAAGCUGCCCCUGCCCACAACUCGGAGGCUCCAACCAGCCACUGAUUUUUACUUUCUCCCUUUAAAUACCUAUUCUCCGGCUUUAAAAAUUCCUUUUCUUUAUUCUCCCUUUCUAAGCUUGCCCUUUAUUACAUUUGGUGAUGUUAUUUUCGUUUUUAUUUUUUCAGCCGGCCCGACUCUGAUUUGCCGAAAUGGCUCAAGCCUCAGCAGCUCAACCCGCGGGCUAGAAACCUCACAUUUCCAAGCUGGGCUCGCAGCUCGCUCGGCUCGGGGCAAGAUCUUCUCCCCCUCCCUCCAGCUGAAACCUCGCAGAAAACUCCCCCUGCGGUCGACUGGAAAAUGAACUCACCCAAAUCUCGGGUCUUGUACUUUUCUCCACCGCCAACAUGUAUACAGUUUCCUGGCACAAACGCCCCGCCACAGGCACAUCACGCGGGAGGUGAAUGAAGGCAGGCCCGCGUGUCAAAGCCAAGGGGAUCCAGAGAUGAAAAAAGAAAGUUCAGGUAACUUUUAAAUACAUUCUCAAUCAUACUUCCCUAUGAACUCCUCACUUACAACGGUGCAUUAUCUGAAGCAGCAUUUUUUUGUGUAAGUAUAAAAACUUUUUCCUAUCACUACCUUUCAAAACCUUGGUGAGUUAUCUUAUGUUUGAGAUACUUCUUUGCUUCACAGAUACAGCACUGGCUGGCUGGCUGGCUGUUUAAAAGAAACAACAUAGCCAAACACUCCAAAUCAAACAGCCUUGGUGGAUUGUUCAGCACUUGAAGGCUUGAUCUUUUGUGCCGUCUACUGGACAAUGGAAAAACUACAGUCUCUAUGAUUUAAACUUUUCUCUUGUCCAGUGUUGGGGGUGGGGAGUGGGUAGGAAGGGGGAUGUGACUUGCUACUGGUAAAUAAUAAGAGAGGAAACGAGACCUAAUUUAGACUCAGAGUACAGAUCUUGUGACUUCAAAUCUUCAAAUCCAAGUUUAGGACAUUAUAUUAACUAUAGGCAUGCCUCAACCACUUGAUUAAGGCACAAGGCUAAAACCUACAUUUUACACAACUCUGUGUGUGUGUGUGUGUGGGUGUGUGUGUGUGUGUGUGUGUGUGUUGGCUUGGAAAGAGAAAGAAAGAUGGUGGGACAAGCUUAGCAUCUCUGGAAAAAAAAUAUUGGUGGUAAUAUUUCUCACUUAGGACUGAGAAUUGGCUUGACAGCCAAGUUACAUGUAUUUAUUGCCUAGGUAAUCCAGGAUGUACAGGUUAAUUCUUGGAAUUUGGAACAUGAUAUUGUUCAAUAAUCCAGAAGAGUACUUUCAUGAGGGGAGAAAUGAAAUUGGUAAUUAGAACAAUGUUAGUGCAGUUACUUUUUGGCAAUCUUGGAUAAAAACGUGAAACUUCACUGUUUUCACUUGGAGACCACAUGUGGGAAAAAGUGAGGGUGAAAUUCACAGUCAGAUGCUUUUAUGUAGCAGAGGCUGUUUGAUGUUCUCUUAAACAUGUAAAAACAUUGUAUACAUUUUGGUUACGAUUUCAAAAAUAUUUAUAGAGCUCUAGUAUUAUGGAAGCUUCAUACAAAAAAUGCAUGGAGCUAACUUUGACCUCUGACAUUGACAUAGUUCCUGAAUAACCAUAAUUAUCACAUAGACGUGAUUUUGUGUAGGAAAAACAUAAACAAAGCCCAAUGCCAAUGAAAUAUAGAGAAGUCAAGCUGAUUUUGGUGGAAGAGCCAUAGACUUGGGUACAAGGCUCUUAAAACAGUCCAUCUGCUUUUCUGAAGUUAAAAUUCCCUAUUGGAUUUUAAUAUAACCUAGUAGUGCAUGACUAGUUGUUAGGGUGCCUUUUAAUAAUAACCCAAUAGUGAAAAGGAGUCAGCUUUAGGGCAUUUUCUUGCUGCAUAAAUAUAUUUCAAUGAUCUACUUCAAAUGAUGUGGCACUGUGUCAGAAUGACGUUCACAUAUUGUAUUAAAUAUAGAUAUAGCAGAGAAUUGGGGUUGAUGCCGACUCCUUAAAGCAGGGAGAUUGCUUAUGUUGCAGAGUAAAAAAAUAAAUAAAUAAAACAGGAUGCUUCCAGUUGUGCUGCAGUGUGGCGGAGGGGGUGGUGGGAGUGGUGGACCAUGUCUCCUUAACUUUAGCAUCAUCAGCUGGACUGUGAAAGGUUAUUUUACGAGAUGCUGUUUGGAUCCCUUGGUCCCGAAUAAAGCAGCAACAACAGGGCUCUCCUAAGGAUAGCUAGAAAAUGUAGAAAAUUCUUACGGGAACCAAUUACCAGUACUCACACGCCUGAUACAUGCUAAGCGGACAGUGGAAGUACUGAGGGCGGGUGAAGGGUCUCUGGUCACCAAGUGCAAACAUUUAUCUUUGAAGCAACAGGAUGGGCCAGACUGGUCAUGAUAAACAUUCAUGUUCCACUGGAUAAAGGGGCAUUUUUUGUGAAAACCUUCAGGCAAAAAAAAAAAAAAAUCGUACUGAUUGUUCGAAAUUAAUAUCUUAACAUUUCAUUGAGCUCUCUAAUGAAUGGGAAGAACAUCCGAGGCCUCCUGCAGCUCAGAAAGCAUCCUGGUAGCCUGAGACCCAGCGAGGAACAGACCAGGAGCCGAAGGAGCCUGCUGAGUCGCUAUUCACUUGGGGAUAUCUGAAAACAUAGUGUUCCAUGCCCUUAUUUAAAAAGGAAAAAUAAAUAUCGUAUUUCCAU